rnacentral:rRNA from 1 species
GACGGAAGGUGCAAGCGUUGCUCGGAAUCACUGGGCGUAAAGGGUGCGUAGGCGGCUUGGUAAGUUGGGUGUGAAAGCCCCGGGCUCAGCCCGGGAAGGGCACUCGAAACUGCCCGAGCUGGAGUGCCGGAGGGGAGAGUGGAAUUCCUGGUGUAGCGGUGAAAUGCGUAGAUAUCAGGAGGAAUACCGGUGGCGAAAGCGACUCUCUGGACGGCAACUGACGCUGAGCACGAAAGCGUGGGGAGCAAACAGG